rnacentral:rRNA from 1 species
CAGUAGCCACGGGAAUACGAAGGGUGCAAGCGUUAAUCGGAAUUACUGGGCGUAAAGCGUGCGUAGACGGUUUGUUAAGUCUGUUGUGAAAUCCCCGGGCUCAACCUGGGAAUGGCAAUGGAUACUGGCAAGCUAGAGUGUGUCAGAGGAUGGUGGAAUUCCCGGUGUAGCGGUGAAAUGCGUAGAGAUCGGGAGGAACAUCAGUGGCGAAGGCGGCCAUCUGGGACAACACUGACGCUGAGGCACGAAAGCGUGGGGAGCAAACAGGAUUAGAUACCCCCGUAGUCCCUGUCUCUUAUAA